rnacentral:lncRNA from 1 species
CCAGUCCUCCCCACACCUGCUGUAAGUUUCCAGGAAACUCACAGCACCUUUCUCUCUUUAUAGUCAGGAUGUGGCAGCUGGGAUAUCCCAACCAAUUACUUCUGAGCUGGAGACCUUCCAGUUUGGGGAUAAGUAAUGGUCCAUCCUGUUCCGGGGUCUCUAAUACAGAGGUCUUGCGAAGAUAGGCCACCCAGCUGUGGGCAGGCGGCUGAAGGAAACAUCGAAGGUCUCUGGGAGCAGACUGAAUCUUCACAACAAAAGUAUGACCUCAGCUGACAUGAAGCCUGGCAAAGCAGAGGAUGUGGCAAAUGAAAGAAGAGCCCAUUGUGAAGUAAUGUGAGACAUAGUAUUUGAAAAGAUAUUGCUAAGACCAACAUCAAAGAGGAUACUGCUUAUACACUGCUGAGCCCUGAUUUUAUCUUGGAUAACACCCUUCACACAUUGGAUCCUGUCUAAUCAGAUAGCAGUGAAGACACUUCUGGUUAGGAGAAGAGAAUAUUCGCCAGACCUGGGAAUCAAGCCAUAUUGAAAGUCAUGGGCCCCAAACUUCUUCAAAUCUGAGCCAGUCCUGAGACUUCAACAUGAGCAUUUGACAGAGAGGGGUUCUUAUUUCUACUAAUCUCAGAACUGAUCAUAAAGCAUGUAUAUCUGAUUCCAGAAGCCAUCUUGCCCGUCUGAGGGACCAGGACUUGCCCGGGACAAUAGAAGACAAAUGGAGCUACCAUAGAAGACAGCAGAGCCAAGAAAUGGAAAGACACUGGGUCCUAAUGAUAUUUCUUGAGCCCUUGGAUCCAGCUGGGACUUGAAUAUUCAGCCACAUGAAACAGUAAAUUCCUCCUUUGCUUUAAACAGAAGUGUCUUGAUUUGUUGUUGUUUUCACCCGAAACUGAAAGAUGUCCAAAUCAAGUGGCUCUCAAUGCUGCCAUACCCCCAUUUACCCCAAGUGAUGGGGAACUUACUGUCAUAUGUGAGUUCCAACCCUGGACUGACUUUAGAAAGUUCUUUAUGUUUAGCUAAUCUUUGUCUCCUUCUAUUUUAUACCUGUUGCUCCUAUUCUUUCAUUUGGAGUCAGAUGGAACAUGUCCAGUCCUUCAUAUGGACCAAUAGGUAUUUGGAUAUUAUACCAUCCCCCCUUCGUCACCCAUCCUCUGCCCACCCAUCCUCUGCCCAUCCCCAGCCCAGAGUUUCUUACACACUGAGAUUUCCAAUCUAAACGUUAAGCUCACCUUACCCACAAAAUAUUUUUUAAUAAGGGCAUCUCACAAUGACUAUUUUUGUUACUUUGCAUAAUUGUCGGAAUUAAAAUUCAAUUAUCCUUAGGUGUCUGCACACAAGUUGAACUCUUUUCCUCUUUUUCUUUUACUUCUGAAGCUGCUUAUAAAAUGUAAACACUUGAAUGAGGAAUGAUUAAUACAUUCCACUUCUACAGAAUAGUGCAAGCCCACGGAUCCCAAAGCAACAUGGAAACAUGCCUAACCUACUCACUUCAUUUUUCAUGGAAUGAGAACAGGUGCUAAGUGUCACGUAAACACCUAGGGGAAGACAUAACAAAACGGCCAGGGAAACCCUUUCAAAGAAGGAAGUGGUUGUUCCUAAAUCUUUGAAAAAUAGUCUUACAGAGUGGUAAAACCAGGCAUGCUCUUAAAAGUUAGCAUAUGAGUUCCAGAGAAGACAAGAGACUUUCCCAAAGUCGGAAACAGAUAACAAUAGAUCCCAGGUCUUCUGACUUUCUCAUUCUUUCUUUUCUGAUGCCAAUUUCACAUAAUAGCAUAUGCUCAAUUAUCAAAUAAAUUGUUCAGAUAUGAAGUGUAUUCAAUUCAAGGAAAGAGAGAACGAUAACCAUUUGUUCCAAAAAAAUAACAGGUGGAAUUGAUAGGCCUUUUGCGAGCUUGGCCACAGGCCAUUCGGCCUAAAUUCCUCACCUAAAUGGUAAUCGAAGUAAGACGAGAUUCUACGAACCAAGGGGAAUUCCAUGGGAGUCAAGUUGCUCGAGUAUUCAUGCAGAUAUAUAUUUAC